AAUGGGCCCGCGAGUAGUGUGGUUUCCUCUAAAUAACAAAGCCACAAAAAUGUUUUCGUGAAAACAGAAAUGUGAUUUUUGCUCAUAAUUUACGGUUAGGUAUAAGGAUAAUAUUGUGGUUAAGGUUAGGUUUAAAAUCCGAUUUUAACAAGAUAAAUUGUAUAAAUAGGCGGGGUUUAUGGCUGGGUUAACUAGUGACGACCGAGCAAUGUGUGUUCGUCAGAGGCAGUACACACGGGGAAGAGAAGUCGACAGAGAAAGAAGCAGCAUCACAAUAGCAAGCCUGGUGGAAGGGAUAGUAGGGACAAUUAUGUAAGGUUUGAUAGCUAAUCAUAGAUAGCCGACUAACUUUAGCGGAACGUUACUGUACCUACCUAACUAACUUAGCUUCAAAUUACUAGCGUUAUGCCAACUCAAAGAGAUAUUUAAUUUCUCCCUAGCGAGCCAGCAACUUUAAUUGGAUUACUAUCGCACAUCUCAUUGCUUAUCAUACCUUGUUGACAUGCUAAACGAAUUUAGCUAUUGUAUUUUGGUCCCAGAUGUCUUUGUGCUGUCUUGCCGACUCCUAUGACCAUUCAUUGGCAUGUCAAUGAGCUGGCUAUACGGUACAAGCAUAUUUGGGCCCAGGUUAUAGCUAUUGUACUAUGAUGGUGAGCUCUAUUCAAGAUCUAUCCAUCUGAGGCUGCAAUUCAGAACACAGAACUCUUCUAUUCCCUCCAAGGAGAACACGCUGUUUGAACACUUACCAGGAGCUGGGUCUUGUGCCCUAGGGGGAGUUUGAGAAGUUAAUGGCGGCUAUGCGGUGGCAGGUAGCCUAGUGGUUAGAGCAUUGGGCCAGUAACCAAAAGGUUGCUGGAUUGAAUCGCUGACAAGGUAAAAAUCUGUCGUUCUGCCCCUGAACAAGGCAGUUCACCCACUGUUCCCCGGUAGCCCGUCAUUGUCAAUAAGAAUUUGUUCUUAACUGACUUGCCUAGUUAAAAAAUAAAUAAAAGGGAGAACCACCAUCUGCAUCACUGGAUACAAUAGGUAUGGAAGGGAAUCUACUUAGCCAGUCCUGUGCCAUCAGAUCAGGGGUGUAUUCACUAUGAAGAAAAUGGUAUCAAACGUCAAGUAGUAUGUGUAUCUCCAGUGGCGAGGGCACCACGAGGAAGAACAUUGAUGUGUGGAAGAAAUAGACCACCAGCAACAGCCUGCAUCUCCAUGGGUGCGUUAGAGUUGGCAGAUGAGUCCGCUGAUCUCCCAGGGUUAAAAUGGAUGUCUGGAGUCACCAAAUGGAAGGUGUAUAACUGUUGGACCACAUGAGCUCCACCUCAUGCCUAACAGUCACUGCUAGCAGCUACUAGAGUUGAUGACUAAGGAGGGUCAGUGGUAUAAGGACUGGUCAGAGGUGCCAGCCGACCACCACACACAGAUCAGACCCACCAUGUUCCCUCCCCCCUGGAGGAGGGGCGGCAGGGUAGCCUAGUGGUUAGAGCGUUGGACUAGGUUGCAAGUUCAAAUCCCCGAGCUGACAAGUAUGAGGAUCCUGCCCCAUCACCAGAACACUGGAGGCUUCUUUGUAGCUGUCCUGGUCAAGAAAGCCCCCAUGCCCUGGAGCAGAACAAUCCCCAAGUUGAGGAAGGAGCAGACAUCCAGCUCAGUGCCCCAGCCAGAGGACUCUCCAGUGGACACCCCCCUCCUUGAGAGACCCCUGGAGGAUGGAGACGGAGGAGAAGAGGCAGGAGAGGACUCGCCCAAAGAGCUAGUCGAUCAGACCAAGGAACCCAACGUGUGUGGGUGAUCAACACAGAGGUGUAUGUGUGGUCUCUCAACAGCGACAAGGAGGGGUUUGGCUGUGUCUUCAGACUUGCCCAGGAGGGUAUCUACUCUGUUCCCCUACAUCCGCUCCAGGAUGAUCAUAAUCAGUGUUGAGGACAUCAAGAUUCUACUGACUCAGGAGAACCCGUACCUCAACAAAUUGGAGGAUGAUGCUCACCAACAGGCCAAGAAGAUUGGUACAGUCGUGCUUU